rnacentral:tRNA from 1 species
GGAUUGUGGCUCAGUGGUAGAGUGCUUGCCUAGCAUGUACAAGGCACUGGGUUCAAUCCUCAGCACCA